CAGAGCAAGAAGAGGCUUCAAAGUUUGGAUUCAAAUUGCAGCAGACUUUUGGAAUUAUUAACAAUGCUGUUACAAUUGCUGGGGAAGGAAAGCAAUUUGCAGCACACAUGGAAGAAGUGUAAAAGUCCUUUGAGGAAACAGUUUUAGGUUUUCCUUUACGUACCUGGGGCUUAAUUUGCUGGAGGAGCUGGCACAUGUGGGAGUCUUGUUCCAUGCUUCCAGCCUCAGCCCAGUAGACCAGGAUGGCUCUGAGGUAUCAUGGCUGGUCCAGGCACUACCAUAAAUGGGGACCUUGGUGCAAUCUUGUAAAAGCCUUCAUCAGCUUCUGUUGCAUCAUAACAAAUUAAAACAGUGUGAUCUGACUUCUCAUCUGACCAUCUCAGGCUCGCCUUCAGCACCAGGCUCCUUGCAAACUGCCUUAAAGCUACCCAUAAAAUCCCUGCCAAGAAGAACGUGCUCGUCACUGCACGGGAUGAAAUGCAGACGAGCAGAAGACGGGCAGCGGCCGCUCCAGUUACCAUGGCCACUGCUUUUAGAUUAUUCAGGAGAUAUGAUUGCUACAUAUCUGCGCCUUCACUGUUCAUCGUUGGAAGACACGGAAAUAUUAAACUACCUAAAG
rnacentral:lncRNA from 1 species